UAGGGAAUAUUGGACAAUGGGUGAGAGCCUGAUCCAGCCAUGCCGCGUGCAGGAAGAAGGCGUUAUGCGUUGUAAACUGCUUUUUGCCAGGGGAUAAAAUGAGCGUGCGCGCUUAAUUGAAGGUACCUGGUGAAUAAGCCACGGCUAACUACGUGCCAGCAGCCGCGGUAAUACGUAGGUGGCAAGCGUUGUCCGGAUUUAUUGGGUUUAAAGGGUGCGUAGGUGGCCCUAUAAGUCAGUGGUGAAAUAUCUCAGCUUAACUGAGAGGGUGCCAUUGAUACUGCAGGGCUUGAGUACAGAUGAGGUAGGCGGAAUUGACGGUGUAGCGGUGAAAUGCAUAGAUAUCGUCAAGAACACCGAUAGCAAAGGCAGCUUACCAAGCUGUAACUGACACUGAGGCACGAAAGUGUGGGGAUCAAACAGGAUUAGAUACCCCAGUAGUCCCUGAGCGGGCUGGCAAGGCGCAU
rnacentral:rRNA from 1 species